GGCGGGUUCCGCGGGCAGGUUGUGCGGGACCUGCCGGAGUUUGCGGGGGCGGGAGCGUCCUGGACUCCGCGUCCCCGGGCACCCCGCGCGCUGACCCGCAGGGGCUGGCAAGUGUCUGGUCCCGGCGCUGCCGGCGCUCAGGCUGCGCCCUGAGCCCGCAGGAAGCGGGCGUGUGCUGAGCGUCUGUGACCCUCGCGGCGGAAUAAACAGGAAGCGACGAGCACCCAGCCGGGCCACCCUGCUUUUGUUGUGCGGGCUGCGGGGCGCAGCGCGGAGGACGCUUCCUGGGACCCCAGCCGGCCGCCCCGGGGCCGGGCGCGCCCUAGAAGCCAGGUUACCUGGACGUGGGUCCCAUCCUCCUGACCUCUGGCCGAGCUUUCAUUCUGGUGUGAGAUAACAUCUCGAGUCUUGUUGCCUUGGAUUUAAAAUCCUUAAGGACGUGACAAGUAAGUGUUAGUGUAUCAGUGAAAAAACCCGAAGGAGACAAAUUCCAGUCAGUGGCAAGUGACACAGGCGUCCACUUCCACCACUGGCUUUCAGCCUGCGAGGUGUGUCCCCACACAGCGUUGCCCGCGGGCGAGGUCAGGGUCUCCCCACGGCCAGAGGACACAAUGCAGCCCCGCCCCGGCCAGCGUGGGUGCGUUUUCUCGAGGGCCGAGCUCCACUCUUUGCCUCCGUUAGGAACCUGGUUGGAAUGACCCGGGCACACGCACCUCCGCCCAGAAGACAAACUGCAAAGAAAUGAAUCAG
rnacentral:lncRNA from 1 species